CACGUAGGGUGCAAGCGUUGUCCGGAAUUAUUGGGCGUAAAGCGCGUGUAGGCGGCUUGGCAAGUCAGAUGUGAAAGCCCUCGGCUUAACCGAGGAAGUGCGUCUGAAACUGCUGAGCUUGAGUGUCGGAGAGGAUGGCGGAAUUCCGCAAGUAGAGGUGAAAUUCGUAGAUAUGCGGAGGAACACCGGUGGCGAAGGCGGCUCACUGGACCGGUACUGACGCUGAGACGCGAAAGCCAGGGGAGCAAACGGG
rnacentral:rRNA from 1 species